AUUGAACGCUGGCGGCAGGCCUAACACAUGCAAGUCGAACGAGUGGCGGACGGGUGAGUAAUGUAUGGGAAAAUGCCUGAGGGAGGGGGAUACCUACGGGAAACGGUAGCUAAUACCGCAUACCAUCGGAUGUGCCCAGAUGGGAUGAGAUAGUAGGUGAGGUAAAGGCUCACCUAGGCGACGAUCCCUAACUGGUCUGAGGGGGUGACCAGCCACACUGGAACUGAGACAAGGUCCAAACUCCUACGGGAGGCAGCAGUGGGGAAGAUUGCACAAUGGGCGAAAGUCUGAUGCAGCCAUGCCGCGUGUGUUAAGAAGGCCUUCGGGUUGUAAAGUACUUUUAGCGGGGAGGCGUUACCCGCACAAGAAGCACCGGCUAACUCCGUGCCAGCAGCCGCGGUAAUUC
rnacentral:rRNA from 1 species